CAAUAGCGUAUAUUAAAGUUGUUGCGGUUAAAAAGUUCGUAGUUGGAUUUCUGCUGAGAACGACCGGUCCGCCCUUUGGGUGUGUAUCUGGCUCUUUCUUGGCAUCUUCUUGGUGAACGUUGCUGCACUUGACUGUGUGGAGCGCUACCCAGGACUUUUACUUUGAGGAAAUUAGAGUGUUUCAAGCAGGCAUACGCCUUGAAUACAUUAGCAUGGAAUAAUAAGAUAGGACCUCGGUUCUAUUUUGUUGGUUUCUAGAGCUGAGGUAAUGAUUAAUAGGGAUAGUUGGGGGCAUUCGUAUUUAACUGUCAGAGGUGAAAUUCUUGGAUUUGUUAAAGACGGACUACUGCGAANGNAUUUGCNAAGGAUGUUUNCAUUG
rnacentral:rRNA from 1 species